AGAACGAACGCUGGCGGCAGGCUUAACACAUGCAAGUCGAACGGCUGUAGCAAUACAGCAGUGGCAGACGGGUGAGUAACACGUGGGAACCUUCCUAGGGGUACGGAACAACUCAGGGAAACUUGAGCUAAUACCGUAUACGUCCGUGAGGAGAAAGUUUUAACGCCCCUAGACGGGCCCGCGUAGGAUUAGGUAGUUGGUGAGGUAACGGCUCACCAAGCCUACGAUCCUUAGCUGAUCUGAGAGGAUGAUCAGCCACACUGGGACUGAGACACGGCCCAGACUCCUACGGGAGGCAGCAGUGGGGAAUCUUGGACAAUGGGCGCAAGCCUGAUCCAGCCAUGCCGCGUGAGUGAAGAAGGCCUUCGGGUUGUAAAGCUCUUUUACCAGGGACGAUAAUGACGGUACCUGGAGAAUAAGCCCGGCAAACUUCGUGCCAGCAGCCGC
rnacentral:rRNA from 1 species